AGCGAACGCUGGCGGCAGGCUUAACACAUGCAAGUCGAGCGGGCAUCCUUGUGGUGUCAGCGGCAGACGGGUGAGUAACGCGUGGGAACGUGCCCUUCGGUUCGGAAUAACUCCGGGAAACUUGAGCUAAUACCGGAUACGUGCGAGAGCAGAAAGGUUUAUCUGCCGAAGGAUCGGCCCGCGUCUGAUUAGCUAGUUGGUGAGGUUAUGGCUCACCAGGGCGACGAUCAGUAGCUGGCCUGAGAGGAUGCUCAGCCACACUGGGACUGAGACACGGCCCAGACUCCUACGGGAGGCAGCAGUGGGGAAUAUUGGACAAUGGGGGCAACCCUGAUCCAGCCAUGCCGCGUGAGUGAUGACGGCCUUAGGGUUGUAAAGCUCUUUUCUUCGGGACGAUAAUGACGGUACCGGAGGAAUAAGCCCCGGCUAACUUCGUG
rnacentral:rRNA from 1 species